UACAGAGGGUGCGAGCGUUAAUCGGAAUUACUGGGCGUAAAGCGUGCGCAGACGGUUGUCUAAGUCGGAUGUGAAAUCCCCGGGCUCAACCUGGGAAUUGCAUUCGAGACUGGGCGGCUAGGGUGCGGAAGAGGGAAGCGGAAUUUCCGGUGUAGCAGUGAAAUGCGUAGAUAUCGGAAGGAACAUCAGUGGCGAAGGCGGCUUCCUGGUCCAGCACCGACGUUCAGGCACGAAAGCGUGGGGAGCAAACAGG
rnacentral:rRNA from 1 species